AUUGAACGCUAGCGGGAUGCUUUACACAUGCAAGUCGAACGGCAGCGCGGACUUCGGUCUGGCGGCGAGUGGCGAACGGGUGAGUAAUGUAUCGGAACGUGCCCAGUAGCGGGGGAUAACUACGCGAAAGCGUAGCUAAUACCGCAUACGCCCUACGGGGGAAAGCAGGGGAUCGUAAGACCUUGCACUAUUGGAGCGGCCGAUAUCGGAUUAGCUAGUUGGUGAGGUAACGGCUCACCAAGGCGACGAUCCGUAGCUGGUGUGAGAGGACGACCAGCCACACUGGGACUGAGACACGGCCCAGACUCCUACGGGAGGCAGCAGUGGGGAAUUUUGGACAAUGGGGGAAACCCUGAUCCAGCCAUCCCGCGUGUGCGAUGAAGGCCUUCGGGUUGUAAAGCACUUUUGGCAGGAAAGAAACGUCGCGGGCUAAUACCCCGUGGAACUGACGGUACCUGCAGAAUAAGCACCGGCUAACUACGUG
rnacentral:rRNA from 1 species